rnacentral:rRNA from 1 species
GAUGAACGCUGGCGGCGUGCUUAACACAUGCAAGUCGAACGGACAGGCCCAAGCUUGCUUGGGUUCUCGAGUGGCGAACGGGUGAGUAACACGUGGGUGAUCUCCCCUGCACUUCGGGAUAAGCCUGGGAAACUGGGUAUAAUACCGGAUAGGACCACAUUUUGGAUGGUGUGGUGGAAAGUUUUUCGGUGUGGGUUGAGCUCGCGGCCUAUCCGCUUGUUGGUGGGGUAAUGGCCUACCAAGCCGUCGACGGGUAGCCGGCCUCAGAGGGUGUACGGCGACAUUGGGACUGAGGUACGGCCCAGACUGCGACGGGAGGCAGCAGUGGGGAAGAUUGAACAAUGGGCGCAAGCCUGAUGCAGCGAGGCCGCGUGGGGGAUGACGGCCUUCGGGUUGUAAACUCCUUUCGCUAGGGACGAAGCGUUAUGUGACGGUACCUGGAGAAGAAGCACCGGCUAACUACGUG